GACGAACGCUGGCGGCGUGCCUAAUACAUGCAAGUUGAGCGCUGAAGGUUGGUACUUGUACCGACUGGAUGAGCAGCGAACGGGUGAGUAGCGCGUGGGGAAUCUGCCUUUGAGCGGGGGACAACAUUUGGAAACGAAUGCUAGUACCGCAUAAAAACUUUAAACACAAGUUUUAAGUUUGAAAGAUGCAAUUGCAUCACUCAAAGAUGAUCCCGCGUUGUAUUAGCUAGUUGGUGAGGUAAAGGCUCACCAAGGCGAUGAUACAUAGCCGACCUGAGAGGGUGAUCGGCCACAUUGGGACUGAGACACGGCCCAAACUCCUACGGGAGGCAGCAGUAGGGAAUCUUCGGCAAUGGACGAAAGUCUGACCGAGCAACGCCGCGUGAGGGAAGAAGGUUUUCGGAUCGUAAAACUCUGUUGGUAGAGAAGAACGUUUGUGAGAGUGGAAAGCUCAUCAAGUGACGGUAACUACCCAGAAAGGGACGGCUAACUACGUG
rnacentral:rRNA from 1 species